rnacentral:lncRNA from 1 species
UCAUAGGAUAGGUAGAGAUCACUGAGGAUGAGGGAAACAUGGCAUAAUCCUCCUUAAGAAAAUGAUGCAAGCCUGGCAUGUUUUGGGACAAUCUAAAGAAGCAAGGAAAAUAUUUGUAUCUAUUUUGGUUCAUGUGUAACAUUUGUUUCUCUUUACAUUAUACAGCACAAGCAUUAUGGCUAUAUAAUUUAUAUCUUUUUAAUCUUAGGGGCAAGGUGUUGAGUUAAUGAUACUCACUAACACACAGUACAUACUUCAACUAUCCAUGCCAAGGUAUCUCUUUUAUUUUCUUUUUAUUAUUUGUCAUUCAUACCCC